rnacentral:piRNA from 1 species
UGGCAUUUGCACUGGGAUAUUCUCCUUGCC